rnacentral:rRNA from 1 species
AACAAACGCUGGCGGCGUGCCUAAUACAUGCAAGUCGAACGGGGAAAGCUUUCGGGUGAGUACUAGUGGCGCACGGGUGAGGAACGCGUGGAUAAUCUGCCUUAGAGUGGGGGAUAACUAGUCGAAAGAUUAGCUAAUACCGCAUAAGACCACAGGAGCUGAGGCGCUAGGGGUCAAAGGCUUUUCGCUCUAAGAUGAGUACGCAUAAGAUUAGCUAGUUGGUGAGGUAACGGCUCACCAAGGCGACGAUCUUUAACUGGUCUGAGAGGAUGAUCAGUCACACUGGAACUGAGACACGGUCCAGACUCCUACGGGAGGCAGCAGUAGGGAAUAUUGCACAAUGGAGGAAACUCUGAUGCAGCGACGCCGCGUGAGUGAUGAAGGCCUUCGGGUCGUAAAGCUCUGUCGCAGGGGAAUAACACAAUGAAUGUACCCUGUAAGAAAGGAUCGGCUAACUUCGUGCCAGCCGCCGCGGUAAUAC